ensembl:lincRNA Mir9-3hg Mir9-3 host gene
GAGCCGAGAGAAGCGGCGCGCCGCCAGGAACCCCCGCGCCACCGCCGCCGCGCCUGCCUCCAGCAGCUCUCGGCCACGCGACCGUGCGGUCAGCGGCGCUUGGAGGGCGGCCGGAGCUGGGCCUGAGCCUGGAGACUCGCCUGAUCCCGGGCGGCCGAACCACCAUCACCACAAUCGCCCCACCCCCGCCGUCGCCUCGUGGGGCCCCGGCCCCCUCCUAGGUCCAUUGUCCUGUGAAGGGAAGUGAUGGCACGGGCUCUGAUCAGCUCUUCUGGGAACAGACAGAGAAGUGAGAAUUCCUGCCAAAGCCACAGGAUGAACACAGAGCCAAGAACCUGAACCA